AUCGCUUCUCGGCCUUUUGGCUAAGAUCAGUGUAGUAUCUGUUCUUAUCAGUUUAAUAUCUGAUACGUCCCCUACCCGGGGACCAUAUAUUAAAUUGAUUUUUGGAGCAGGGAGAUGGAAUAGGGGCUUGCUCCGUCCACUCCACGCAUCGACCCGUAUUGCAGUACUUCUGGGAACGGUGCAACCCCC
rnacentral:snRNA from 1 species